UCACCCGUCUCCGCCUGUUUUAAAAUCCCUUGUUU
rnacentral:sRNA from 1 species